CUCACCUGAGAGUCUUGUUAAAAUGCAGAUUCUAAUUCAAUAAGACUACCAUGAGGCCUGAGGCUCUGCUUUUCUAGCAAGCUCUGGGGUGAUGCCAU
rnacentral:pre_miRNA from 1 species